AUUGAACGCUGGCGGCAGGCCUAACACAUGCAAGUCGRGCGGUAGCACAAGGGAGCUUGCUCCCCGGGUGACGAGCGGCGGACGGGUGAGUAAUGUCUGGGAAACUGCCUGAUGGAGGGGGAUAACUACUGGAAACGGUAGCUAAUACCGCAUAACGUCKMMRGACCAAAGCGGGGGACUUUCGGGCCUCGCGCCAUCAGAUGUGCCCAGAUGGGAUUAGCUAGUAGGUGGGGUAAUGGCUCACCUAGGCGACGAUCCCUAGCUGGUCUGAGAGGAUGACCAGCCACACUGGAACUGAGACACGGUCCAGACUCCUACGGGAGGCAGCAGUGGGGAAUAUUGCACAAUGGGCGCAAGCCUGAUGCAGCCAUGCCGCGUGUGUGAAGAAGGCCUUCGGGUUGUAAAGCACUUUCAGCGAGGAGGAAGGGAGCAGGUUUAAUACAUCUGUUCAUUGACGUUACUCGCAGAAGAAGCACCGGCUAACUCC
rnacentral:rRNA from 1 species